GGCGACAGAAUCUGAAUCCAGCCAGAUGGCCCCAGAGCCCUGUGGGCCGAGCACGUGAGCCACCCCAGGGACACUGGGAAAGGCUGCUGCCCACUGCGCAUGCGCACCAAAAACCAAAUGCCCCUGGGCCGCCAGCCUCAGCGGCUAGGGCAAUGGAGAAACGGCGGCCAGGCGGGACCCUGGAGCGGUCUGCGGUCUGUGUGGCUCUGUGUGUCUGCCCUCUGUGGAAGGGGAGGAAAGGCUCUUGUCCUGGUUCAGCCUCAGUCUGCUUACCCAACCGUUGCGGGGCCCAGUCAGAGCCGACAGGAGAGCCUUGCGCUUAGGCCGCACCGCGCUGUCGCGGCCAGUCCAGCUCCUUCCAGGCCUCGCUGCACCUGCAGGACGCCAGGCUGCCCACCGCCCAGGGGCCUGUCCCGAGCCCUGAGCCUCCCUCCGAGACAGUGAGCCAUCUAGAACCUGAAGACCACAUGCUUCACGGAGUCAGGACAGCUCCUGAGGACCCAUGGAGAUGACCUGCCCAGCACUCACCUGACAACAAGGAGCCACACAUAACAGUUCCUGACAGGACACCAGCUGGCGCCCCCACACCUUUAUCUGCAGAAGUUAAAAAUUCCUCCAACUUCACUGUCCUGCUGUUUGCUGUUGUCAAAAACACAACACCAUGAACUUUAA